GAUGAAGGCCUCAUUGGCUAGGCUUGCAUUUGCUGACUAGAAGAAUUUGAGCAACAAACAUAUUCCUAUGGAUUUGGAAUCACAUGUAGGCCAGACCAGGUGCAGAAUGACAGGGAUGGAGAUCAAUUAUAAAGUGGAUCAAUGCUGUGGAAAGAAACAGGACUACAAUAUUGUAUAAGAUCAAAGGAUUGGUACCCACAGAAAUGAAGAUAAUGAAGACUGUGCAACUAUGAAGGGAACUGAGUCAAUGUUGCUGCUGAAGAUGUAAAUAGUGAGGCCCUUCUGUAACUCAGGCUUUGUUAUUGAUGUAUUUGAGCAUUAUAAUUAUAUUUGGCUUUCUUCUUGGCUGCAAGCAAAACUCCUUCACGUCUCCUACCUCUUCCAGCUUUUCAGUUAUUCAGUGCUUCUGAACUGCAAAAUCGUACAGCAUGUUUGAGAUUAUAAGAAAAAUUAAAUUCAGCCAACAUUGCACUGUAAAGUAAUCCUUGAUCUUUCCAAGUAUUUAAAAUAUUUCUCCUGUCAUCGACUGUGAAUUUGUUGCUGUUCAUGGUGUCAAGACGGGCCUUGUAACUUAUUUGAUCUAUGGCCUGUUGUGUU